rnacentral:lncRNA from 1 species
GAAGUGAAUAAGUAAAUAACUCAGAGUUUUGAGUCAGCUGGGUUUCUUCAGCUAGGCCUAGGUGAUACCUUUGAAUACAGGACGAGCACCCUUGGACGGAAGCCUGGCUGCAUCCUCAACCUUUUGAAUACUGGCAUCAGAAAUACUCAUCCCCCAGCUAAUGUGGGACGUGCUACCUGAAUGACCUGCUCUAAUUGAUUUAUUCAGAAAAAAGUCCCAAGUUACUAAAGGUCAGAUUUAAUUCCAAUUCCUAUUUCAGAUUUUAAAAUGUCGUUUAAAUUCUUACAGUGUUGUUAUAUUGUCCUUGUGUAAAGAUGGCUUUAAGAUACCUGGUAGAUGUGUAGCUUAGGUUUCAUGUGGGUAGCCUAACAAUUGGAGUGGGGCUGGUUCUGACUCUGUUGCCUGCCACUGAAUCCUCCUCCGCUACCCGGACUGCCUGGUUGGGCCUCAGUGAGCGAGGAGGUACCAGGGUGGUGUGGUACCCAGGGAGCAUUUCCUUUCUCCUCAGAGAAAGUUGGUGGGGGGGAGUAGGGGAGGAAUUUGUAAGGUCUGGACUGGGAGGAGAGGAGGGAGGAAGACCGCAAGUGGAAAGUAAUGUGAACUUCAAAAUAAAUUCCGUGGGCCUGGAGAGAUGGCUCAGCAGUUAAGAGCACUGAUUGCUCUUCCAGAGGUCCUGACUUCAUUUCCCAGCAAGCACAUGGUGACUCAUAAUUAUCUGAAAUCAGAUCUGAUGCCCUCUUCUGGUGUCUGUGAAGACAGCAACAGUGUACUCAUAUAUAUUAAAUGUGGAAUAGGGAGGGGAAGGAAAGGGAGGGGAGAGGAGAGGAGGAGAGGAGGAGAGGAGAGGAGAGGAGAGGAGAGGAGAGGAGAGGAGAGGAGAGGAGAGGAGAGGAGGGAGAGGAGAAAAAUGGUACCUGGUGGAAAAUUAUGAAGUAAACAAGUAGAACAUGAGUGUUUGCUCAUAGUGACAGGACAAUAUAUUAUGUCAACCCUGUCUGUGCAGGUGUGUGUGUUCACACGCUGGUGACUAGGAUCUCCAUGGUUCAUACUCUACCCUUACUGGUUGGUGUAGCAAUCUCUUGUUCCUAAUUUUAGCUGCCACUUGAUUAUUCUGCUUGUUACCUGUUACGGGGCCCUUCUUCUUCUGUCAGAUGUCUCUACUCCCUUCCAUUUGGUAUGAGGCACUCCUUUUUGCUUUUUAAUUUUUACGGAUCUGGUUCAGUUUUUCAACUU